ACCUGCCUUGAGGAGGGGGAUAGUCCUGGGAAACCGGGUUUAAUACCGCAUGUGACCUUCGGGUUAAAGGUGCCUUCGGGUGCCGCUUCAAGAUGGGCUCGCGUCCUAUCAGCUUGUUGGUGAGGUAACGGCUCACCAAGGCAAUGACGGGUAGCUGGUUUGAGAGGAUGAUCACCAACACUGGAACUGAGACACGGUCCACACACCUACGGGUGGCAGCAGUCGAGAAUCAUUCAGAAUGGACGAAAGUCUGAUGGUGCAACGCCGCGUGGAGGAUGAAGGCCCUAGGGUCGUAAACUCCUGUCAUAUGAGAGUAAGGCAUAUGUGUUAAUAGCAUGUAUGUUUGAUAGUAUCAUAAGAGGAAGGGACGGCUAACUUCGUGCCAGCAGCCGCGGUAAUACGAAGGUCCCGAGCGUUGUUCGGAAUCACUGGGCGUAAAGGGAGCGUAGGCGGCAUGGUAAGUCAGAUGUGAAAUCCCGGGGCUCAACCCCGGAACUGCAUCCGAUACUGCCUUGCUACAGUAAUGGAGGGGUAACUGGAAUUCUCGGUGUAGCAGUGAAAUGCGUAUAUGUCGAGAGGAAGACCAACGGCGAAAGCUCGUUACUGGACAUUUACUGACGCUGAGGCUCGAAGGCCAGGGGAGCGAAAGGAAUUAGAUACCCCUGUAGUCCUGGCAGUAAACGGUGUGCGCUUGGUGUAAGUGGAUUCGACCCCAUCUGUACCGGACCUAACGCGUUAACCGCACCGCC
rnacentral:rRNA from 1 species